AAUAUUUGACAAUGGGGGCAACCCUGAUUCAGCCAUGCCGCGCGUGUGAAGAAGGUCUUCGGUUUGUAAAGCACUUUAAGUUGGGUGGAAGGGCUUUAGGUUAAUACACUGAAUUUUUGACGUUACCAACAGAAUAAGAACCGACCAACUCUGUGCCUGCAGCCGCGGUAAUACAGAGGGUGCAAGCGUUAAUCGGAAUUACUGGGAGUAAAGCGGGGGUAGGUGGUUCAGUAAGAUGGGUGUGAAGUCCCCGGGCUUAACCUGGGAACUGCUUUCAUAACUGCUGAGCUAGAGUACGGUAGAGGGUAGUGGAAUUUCCUGUGUAGCGGUGAAAUGCGUAGAUAUAGGAAGGAACACCAGUGGCGAAGGCGACUACCUGGACUGAUACUGACACUGAGGUGCGAAAGCGUGGGGAGCAAAC
rnacentral:rRNA from 1 species